CCUACGGGAGGCAGCAGUGAGGAAUAUUGGUCAAUGGGCGCGAGCCUGAACCAGCCAAGUCGCGUGAGGGAUGACGGCCCUACGGGUUGUAAACCUCUUUUGCCGGGGAGCAACGGGCGCCACGUGUGGCGCCACGGAGCGUACCCGGAGAAAAAGCAUCGGCUAACUCCGUGCCAGGAGCCGCGGUAAUACGGAGGGUGCGAGCGUUAUCCGGAUUUAUUGGGUUUAAAGGUGGCGUAGGCGGAUCGUUAAGUCAGUGGUCAAAUUGAGGGGCUCAACCCCUUCCCGCCAUUGAAACUGGCGCUCUUGAGUGGAAGAGAAGUAUGCGGAAUGCGUGGUGUAGCGGUGAAAUGCAUAGAUAUCACGCAGAACCCCGAUUGCGAAGGCAGCAUGCCGGCUUCCGACUGACGCUGAAGCACGAAAGCGUGGGGAUCGAACAGGAUUAGAUACCCUGGUAGUC
rnacentral:rRNA from 1 species